rnacentral:rRNA from 1 species
UACAGAGGUCUCAAGCGUUGUCCGGAAUUAUUGGGCGUAAAGAGCUCGUAGGCGGCCUGUCGCGUCGGAUGUGAAAGCCCGGGGCUUAACCCCGGGUCUGCAUUCGAUACGGGCAGGCUAGAGUGUGGUAGGGGAGAUCGGAAUUCCUGGUGUAGCGGUGAAAUGCGCAGAUAUCAGGAAGAACACCCGUGGCGAAGGCGGCUUUCUGGGACGGCACUGACGCUGAGACGCGAAAGCGUGGGGAGCGAACAGG